CACCGCGGUUAUACGAGAGGCUCAAGUUGACAGACAACGGCGUAAAGAGUGGUUAAGGAAAAUACCAAACUAAAGUCGAACAUCCUCAGAGCUGUUAUACGCUUCCGAAGAUAUGAAGUUCAACCACGAAAGUGACUUUACUACCCCUGAACCCACGAAAGCUAAGAAA
rnacentral:rRNA from 1 species